CGAUGCCAGGAGCAGUAGUGGCAGCCAUGCCUCAGGCCCGCACAUCUCGGCUCCCAGGGACAGAGGCAUCGGUCAAAAGGCAGAGCUGCCUGGUGUUUCUGAAGUUCCACUGAGUUCUCCCUGGGAGCCGGCUCUAGAGCUGGAUCGGGCACCGACCCAGAAGACAGGAAGUCACGGAGUCCUCAGGCACUGCCGCACUUGCCUGUCCCACUAGGAUCUCCACUCGGGGACCCGGCCCCGUUCCACCCACCCAACCGUAGCUACCCGCAAGUAGCCGUGAUCGGGAUCUCCGAGCUCCCCCAGAGCUGCUUCCCACGCCGUGGCCAACAACGACAGCAGAAACUUGGGAACCUGCUCAGCAGGUCAGAACAGGUUCACCCCUCCUGGUCCAGGAAACCACAGGAGAAACUGAGGCACGGUGGUAGGAAAGCAGUUAGAUCAAAAGUGAACCCCCAUUCCCCUCAUGCCUCACUACCUACCCUCCUCCUACCUGCAUUCUGGGCCCUAAGAAUGGGAACAAUUCAAGUCAAGACAGAAUCCUUAGCAUGUAAAUUGUCUGAGCGGCACCACUGCACGCAAGGCCUGCAUACCUGAGUUCAUUCG